rnacentral:rRNA from 1 species
UACGUAGGUGGCAAGCGUUAUCCGGAAUUAUUGGGCGUAAAGAGCGCGCAUGUGGUUGAUUAAGUCUGAUGUGAAAGCCCACGGCUUAACCGUGGAGGGUCAUUGGAAACUGGUCGACUUGAGUGCAGAAGAGGGAAGUGGAAUUCCAUGUGUAGCGGUGAAAUGCGUAGAUAUUAGGAGGAACACCAGUGGCGAAGGCGGCUUACUGGACUGUAACUGACGUUGAGGCUCGAAAGCGUGGGGAGCAAACAGGAUUAGAUACCCU